UGAAAUAAUUGUCUGGAGACAAGAGAAUCCUCCAGGUGGCUAGUUAAAUGCCUCCAGAAGGUUCGGGCAUUGAUGAAUCCCUCUGAGGAUUUCUGUAGUUGACAAGUGGCCUUAUUGGUCAAAGAAUCUCAUUAAUCAGAUCCCUCAGAGUGGAACCUCCACAGUGGCAUGUUUGUGAAGAAGGGGAUCAUAAAGCAGAUGUGCGGCUGGCUCUCAGCAUUCAGGGUGAAACUCUUCAGUGCAGAGAGCAUCGCAUUAUACAAAACCUACACUGAUAUUUAAAAUCAUUUCUAACUUCUGUUUGUCAGCCUAACUAGGGACCAUUGAUUUUUUAGCAUCUACCUUUUCUUUCACUCUUAUGUCUCAUACUCCUAUAUAUUUCAGGCCAGGGCUAAAACAGGUCAAAAUUAAGAAGCACAGCUUUCCAGGCUCUCACUUUUACAUGAAAAAUACACCUGAAUCCCAUACCACCCCUAUGGUCCCCAGUGAUUGCUCUUGAGUCUCAGGGAAUGAACUCCACAGUCUGCACAGGUUUUAUGUGGCUCCCUGUUCUGGGUCAAGCUACUUUUGGUGUUAUUAACUUCGGAGGCCUCAAUUGCUCAUAAAGCCAGGUGCUGGCACCUGGGCACCAUUCCCUCUGUGGGUCGUAGUGUCUUCUACCAGGCGCCACUGCCAUGGUACUAUGCUGGAGUUCUCUGGGCCCAGGGGACACUGCCAAGGUGACAUGGCUCCCUGAAGCAAAGUCCCUCCUGCCUUCCCCUCCCCUCUCCAGAGUACAUUUUACUGAAGUACCAAAGAAGGGCUGCUUGUGCCCUCUGCUUUCUAGAGUUUAUUUCAAAAUUUACUUCUAGCCGUGGCCAAUUCUCCAUGAAUUCAGUUGGUAGGUAUGAUGCUACAUUUAAGAUUGUCCUCCCAAGGCCAAGUUUAUUUUUCUUUCUCCCUCUCACCCAGGAUGAGUUAUUUUUCUUUUCUUUUUCAGGAGAUACCUUGGUUUGUCAUAAAAACAAAUUCCUUUUAGGGCCACCUAGAAACUGUCAGCCAUGCUCAGAUGUGUGUGAGUCAAUAAAAUAUGUAUAGGUGGGACUCAAGUUAGGACCCUCCAUUUCUUUCUUCGUAUUCUUCUUGCACUUCUGUCCUCUCCCUUCUCAUCUCUCUCCUUCCCCCUCCACAAUGUUCAUUAUUCAUGGAGCACCAACCACGUGUCAGGCACUGUUCUAAGCACUUUAGAUAAAGCAGUAACAAAAUCGAAAAUAUCUCACUUUCCUGGACAUUCCAGAAAGCAACCAAUGCUAUGAGCAGGACACUUAAUAGGGUGCUGUGUGAGAGUGACCAGAAGCUGGUCUACCUGGGGUGACAAGGAGGGCCUUUCUGAUGAGGUCAAUAACUGUUUAGCCAAGAUGAAUGACAAGAAAGACUUAGUUGUACAAAAACAUGGCACUUGGGCCUUCCAUGCAGAGAAUAUAGCAGUAUUUAUAUCUUUAUUUAUAUUGCAUAGCAAAAUCUUUUCUCUGAGAACUUCCCUAGAUGUGAGAAGUAGGGUUUUACACUCAACCCACCCAUGUUUGGCUUGUUGCAUUCACUCAGAUGUCACCUCUUGUGCAGGACCCCGUGUGUGACUGUUUCAUAGGCCUUCAGCUGUGGGGAUCUUCCAUUGAUCCCUCUUGGGCACAGUCAUGUCCCAAGUCACCAAGCACUCUAAUGGGACCUCUGGGCAUAUGGUUUUCAGGGUUUCUAGCCUCAUCCCACAGGGAGGAGGGCUGCAGGGAAAUCUCAGCCCAGGUGCAGAGGCAUGACCAAAGAAAGGGUGCUGGGAAGCCCACAGCUCCCUUAUUUCCAGGGAAUUCCAGAUUCUACGUUACUAAGCAAUGACAGAAUAAGAGUGGUGGGGACUUCUCUGUUCACCACAGGCAUACCUGAGCCUGGGUGCAGGCAGGCUGUGAUUGACUGGUGAUGAAGUUAAAUUUUUUUAAGGUUUUUAAGGUUUGGGGAUGGGGUUAUAAGCCUAAGGAAUCUGGGGUGAAAUGCUUGAGAUUAAAGUUCCACAGAUGGAAAUAUGAUCAGUCUUGAAAGAGUUUUAAACUAGAAAAUGCUGCGGUUACCGUGGAAACGGCGGGAAGUAACAACCAGGCUCCCCAGGGCUGAGCGCGGCCCGCGGAGGGGAGCAGACGGCGGAGGGACAGCCGGGUCACCACGGU